GUGGCGAACGGGUGAGUAACGCGUGAGUAACCUGCCCUGGAGUGGGGGACGAACAGUUGGGAACGACUGCUAAUACCGCAUAAGCCCACGAUCCGGCAUCGGAUUGAGGGAAAAGGAUUUAUUCGCUUCAGGAUGGACUCGCGUCCAAUUAGCUAGUUGGUGAGGUAACGGCCCACCAAGGCGACGAUUGGUAGCCGGACUGAGAGGUUGAACGGCCACAUUGGGACUGAGACACGGCCCAGACUCCUACGGGAGGCAGCAUG
rnacentral:rRNA from 1 species